rnacentral:lncRNA from 1 species
UUAAAAUGCAUGGCAACUAAAAAAAACGUUUAAGCUAUUAAUUAAAAUGCACAUUCCCGCAGAAGAAAAUAAUGUCAUGCGUUUUUUCCAAGAUAAAUGAUGGCAAGCUAUUAAUUAAAAUACACCUACUUCUAAUUAAUUCAUUACUUGAAAAUUCUAAAGGAAAUAAAAGAUGAUGCUUCCACAAUUUUAACAUAAUAGCCCCUCCAAAAAAAAAUUGCACAUUCUUCACAAACUUCAAUCACCAGUAGCUACAGGACAUGACCGUGCUUAAAAAAAAUAAUGAAAAGCCAAAUAGUAAAAGGAAUUAAAGUCCAACAUCACCCAAAAUCCAUCUUGAAAUCCCGUAUGCUUCCUUCAAUGAAAAAAAGUUCCCAACCAAAGCCGUGAAUUUUGGCAUUCAAUAAAUAAAAAAAAAAGAAACAUCACUUCCAAGCAUUAAUUUCAUUCCAGCAAGGAAACUUAAAAGCAAGUGACAGCAACUUCCAUUUUCAUUCCUCACAAGCAAUGUUAAACAAAGGCGU